UACGUAGGGUGCGAGCGUUAAUCGGAAUUACUGGGCGUAAAGUGUGCGCAGGCGGCCGCGCAAGUCGAGUGUGAAAGCCCCGGGCUUAACUUGGGAAUUGCGCUCGAAACUACGUGGCUGGAGUGUGGCAGAGGAAGGUGGAAUUCCAGGUGUAGCGGUGAAAUGCGUAGAUGUCUGGAGGAACACCGGUGGCGAAGGCGGCAUCCUGGACCAACACUGACGCUGAGGAGCGAAAGCCAGGGGAGCAAACGGG
rnacentral:rRNA from 1 species